UACGGAGGAUUCAAGCGUUAUCCGGAUUUACUGGGUGUAAAGGGAGCGCAGGCGGUAUGGCAAGUCAGAUGUGAAAACCCAGGGCCCAACCCUGGGACUGCAUUUGAAACUGCCAUACUGGAGUGCCGGAGAGGUAAGUGGAAUUCCUAGUGUAGCGGUGAAAUGCGUAGAUAUUAGGAGGAACACCAGUGGCGAAGGCGGCUUUCUGGACGACAACUGACGCUGAGGCGCGAAAGUGUGGGGAGCAAACAGG
rnacentral:rRNA from 1 species